UGUCGUGUUCUGUGCUAGGGGUGGCAGUACGUGCAGAUCGGAGAUUUCUAACCUCACAAAACUGGAGGACCCACAAAAUCAAUACAGACAUUUGAGGAGUCAGUCACGCCUGAAGGAAAGUGCCCGACGGGAAAGCCCCGCUUCUCCAACAAUGGCUAGGUCAAGGCGAAGAAGACAAGAAAACAAACAAGCUUGACACGGUAUAACAAAUCCAACCCACACAAACUGAGGGGGACUCCAGUAUCGCGAAGCCACAAAGUGGAACGCCGAAUUUUGCAACAACUGCCGCACCUGCUGUGAAGGGAUUUAUUAGUGUUGCAACCAAUCAAUAACUUGAGGGCACAGCGACCGAGUGAAAGCUGCAACAGGACAAAGAAAACUGCAGUAGUGAGCUGUAAUAAUAUCAGGACCGUUAAGAGAGUCACAUAAUAGAAGUGUCCACACCUGUGGUCCAACAACUCUGUAACUGAGUUAAAAUGUAAAACCGUAUGGCAUAGGAUCCUCGAGUGGCUGGCAUAAAGAUGGACAGGAAAUCCCGUUUUCUUAUUGAACCAGAAAGUUCAUCCCGUGUUCAUGUAAGUACACAGUGUAUUUCACUCUGACCUCAGCCAAUUCAAUAAA